rnacentral:RNase_P_RNA from 1 species
CGAGUCGGUCGGGCGGCCGCGGCGACGGGAACCGGGCACUGCGGUGCUCAGGCCCGCUGCCGAGGAAAGUCCGGACUCCGCAGAGCAGGGCGGUUGCUAACGGCAACCCGGGGCGACCCGCGGGACAGUGCCACAGAGAACAGACCGCCGACCUCGUGUCGGUAAGGGUGAAACGGUGCGGUAAGAGCGCACCAGCGCCCCGGGUGACCGGGGCGGCUCGGUAAACCCCGCCCGGAGCAAGGUCAAAGGCCGCACCGGCGUGCUGGUGCGGCUGCGCAGGCGUUCGAGGGCUGCUCGCCCGAGCUUGCGGGUAGGCCGCUCGAGGCACCCGGCGACGGUGUGCCCAGAUGGAUGGUCGCCCCCCGGCGCGACAGCGGCGGGGACAGGAUCCGGCUUACAGACCGACUCGUCCG